UACAGAGGUCUCAAGCGUUGUUCGGAUUCAUUGGGCGUAAAGGGUGCGUAGGCGGCGCGGUAAGUCGGGUGUGAAAUCUCGGAGCUUAACUCCGAAACUGCAUUCGAUACUGCCGUGCUUGAGGACUGGAGAGGAGACUGGAAUUUACGAUGUAGCGGUGAAAUGCGUAGAUAUCGUAAGGAAGACCAGUGGCGAAGGCGGGUCUCUGGACAGUUCCUGACGCUGAGGCACGGAAGGUCAGGGGAGCAAACGGG
rnacentral:rRNA from 1 species